rnacentral:lncRNA from 1 species
AGUGUGAAACUGACUUCUCCUGGGGAUGGUAGGGCUUCCUCUGUGGUCCAGUAAUGGUGACGUCCCUAACUGGCAGCCUGGGCCCCAGCGUCAGGAGUUGGGCUCAUGGUGACACAAAGGCUCCUUGGAUGCAAGAGCACAAACACCUCAGUGUGAAGGUUUCCUCUGGAGAAGGAGCAUUUCACUAUCCAACAAAAUGUUUAUUCCAGGAUUUUGGUUGAUUUCAUUAAUCAGAAAAUGCAUUUUAGAAGAAAAUGAGUCUCUGAUCUCAGGAUUUGUCUGAUCUCUCACGAUUGGGAUGGCCCAUUCCUAGAGGGGGAGAAGACCUGGAAAACACUGCUAGACCAACUCAAAAUUACAAAGUUUUCCAGAGCUUAUAUGUCUUCUAAGCCAUAUGUCUAUGUCUGCAGGAAUGUAGACAAUUCAGAGGCUUUGUUCCCCAUAAUUUGGAACUUUUCUUCAGAUUUGACCAAGUCGGGUAGAGAUGAUCAAACCUAAUGGGAAAAAGACUGAAACAACAAAAACAGAAACAGGCAAACACAACCAGAGAGAGUAUAAGGAAUCCGAAGGUUGCCCUGCACACGGCUCAGGGUCGGGCUGCACUGGCAGUCUGUGGUGGACAGACGUGGUCUUCCUGUGUCUGCUGAGGCGUAGGGCUUCUCCCCAGAGUGCGUCCUCUGGUGGGAGAUGAGGUUUGACCUGUCGCUGAAGCCCAGGCCACAGUCACUGCACACGAUGGUCUUCUCCUCCAAGUGUGUCCUCUGGUGUCUCACGACAGCUGACUUCUGGCUGAAGCCUUUGCCACAUUCCCGGCACACUAGCUCUGGUGGCCUUUACCUCAGGCUUUGAUGACAGACAGAGGAACCAACAAUCUAACCUGAUGCCUGCCUCUCCCCACGCCAGUGCUGAGGAGCUCCUGCAGAGAAAGCCUGCUCUUCCAGCCCUUGUAUUCAGGACAGGUGCCGGGUGGUCCCUCAAGACCCUUUUUCAGCAGUAAAUCCUACCUGCUUUCACUGAGUUCUCACUAAGUUUAUUUGGUUUAAUCUAGGUUGUCUGAGGUUCCACAACUCAUAACUGAUUUUGUGUUCUAUUUCUGGCCAGCAACUUCCUUGACAUUAUGGAAACUUGAGUUGGGUGGAGUUGUCAGAUUUGAUUUAUUGGCUAUUUUGUUUCUCUUGAAUACGACAGGAGAAGGGAAGCAACAGCUCAUAUCUCCUUGGCUUACCUUCAUACAUAUUAGGGCAUAGUCAUGGGUAAGUAGGUCUUUCAGCAGUAAAAGGAACUCCUGUGUCUGUCCUGAGUUAAGCACAGUGACUAUAAUUUUGACACAGGUAAUACCUCCCACCCACCCUUAUAAGAACCAAGGCUUCUGAUAUGUAGGCUUAUUACAGCCCUAGCUGCUGUGCCUAUGUGUAAAGUGGCAGGCUUUUAUUUACACUAAAUGUAUUUCAGAAUUAUAGAAGCGCCUUCAGAGAAAUCUUAAUUCAACAUGGUUUUAACAUUUGUAUGGAGUGACAGAAGAAAAACAAAACUUUAAUUCUCCAUUAGUCAGUUUUUUCAGUUGGUCACCAAAUUUGGCAUUCUGUGUAUACACUAGGAAUAUUUAGUCUUAGAAGAAAUUUUAACACAAAAUAUUACCAGGUUAAUGAAUUUAUUUAUAAAAUAUUUUAAAUCUAAGGUGCUCCUGCACUGAUAGGUUUAUAGAGACUAAUGGGCACUGACACAAAUUUAAAAUUUAAAAACUCGAGAAUAACUAAAUUAAAAAAAAAAAAUCAGGCCAGGUGUAGCGGCUCACGCCUGUACCAGCACUUUGGGAGGCUGAGUCGAGUGGAUCACUUGAGGUCAGGAAUUUGAGACCAGCCUGGCCAACAUGGUGAAACCCUGUCUCUUCUAAAAAUAUAAAAAUUAGCUGGUUGUGGUGGUGUGCACCUAUAAUUUCAGCUACCCAGGACGCUGAGGCAGGUGCUUGAACCUGCGUGGCGGAGGUUGCAGUGAGCCGAGAUUGCGCCACUGCAUUCCUGCCUGGGCAACAGAGCAAGAUUCUGUCUCAAAAAAAUAAAAAAUAAAUAAAAUUGAAAAUUGAACUCCUAAUGAUUCAAAUAUGCCAGUUUCUGAAGGAAAUCUUUCUUGCUGCAGCUGAAGCUCUGGCUCUGAAGAAAAAAGUUUAGCUGUGAAUUAAGCCAGGCACCUUGCUUAUUAGGUUGCACGAUAAGAAAGAAAUGUGAGGCACUCAGAGCUUAUUUACUACAAUAUGUAAACAACCUUACUAGCUGGUAUGUAACUAAAGGGUGGAAUCAAUAUUUCAAAGUAAGAUAAAGCCUGCAAAUAAGACAAAUGCAAUGUCUUUUCCCUUAUUUUAUCAGUGUAAACAUAACAUUAGCAUAAUAUUCUAGUGAUAUAAAACUUGGUUCUGAUAUGUAGGCUUUCUCAAAGAAAGUUUAACUAAUCUAAACUUCCAAGACUAAUAUAUAGGUUCAGCAUCCCUAAUCUGCAAAGUUCCAAAAUCUGAAAAUCUUUAAGCACCAACAUGCAGCCACAAGUAGAAAAUUCCACAGCUGAUCUCAUGUGACAGGUCAUAGUCAAAACACAGGCACAUAAAAUUCAGUUUAUUCAGCAUCCUCAAAGGAAAAAUAUAAUUACCUUCAGGCCAAGUGUACAAGGUGUACACAAAACAUAAAUGAAAUUCCUGUUUAGACUAGGGUCCUAUACCCAAGAUAUCUCAUUAUGUUUAUGGUAAUAUUCCAAAAUGCAAACCAACCAACCAACCAACCAAACAAACCCAAAAUCUGAAACACUUAUGGUCCUAAGCAUUUUGGAUAAGGGAGAGUCAACCUAUACUGAUUUUAAAAAUCAGAUAGGCUAAUAUUGCCUUCAUAAAUAUGUAAGAUUAGGCACAUGUAGAUAUAUGUGUCCAACUAGUAUCUUAUAAUUUACAGACAGUGCCAGAAAUUACGUGAAUCUACAAUUACUUUACUCAAAGUAAAUACCAGAAAUGGCAUAUUUUUCAGGCAGUUUUUAACUUAAGACUGAUUAAGUUGUUUUUCAAUUUCUAAGAUCUCUGUUAGGAAAUCAUUAUAAGAAUAAAUAUUUUUGUUAAAAAAUUCAAAAACAAAACUAUACAAAGUGUUCUCAUGCAAUAAUUUUACUUGUAUUUUUGCCUAAACUAAUGAGAUCAGCCUUAUGUUAAUUAUUUGAGACUGAAACUUAAAACUUUAAAUACCGUCCAUCAACACUAUAUAUGCUUAAAAACAUGUACAAUUAUUUAGCUUGCCAAUAAACAGAAAAAAGCUUAAACUUGACAAUAAUACUGGUAACUAAAAAAGAAUUAUAACUUGGUGUAUUUCUGUCCUCCAUAUGAAAAAUAACUAAUUUUUGUCUUUUGUAUACUCAACUUAGAAAUAAAAGCUCUAUUUUUACCUCA